UAAUGUCUACUCCAGCUUGUUCCUAG
rnacentral:piRNA from 1 species